rnacentral:rRNA from 1 species
AUUGAACGCUGGCGGCAGGCCUAACACAUGCAAGUCGAGCGGGGUUUUCGGACCUAGCGGCGGACGGGUGAGUAAUGCGUAGGAAGCUACCCGAUAGAGGGGGAUACCAGUUGGAAACGACUGUUAAUACCGCAUAAUGUCUACGGACCAAAGUGUGGGACCUUCGGGCCACAUGCUAUCGGAUGCGCCUACGUGGGAUUAGCUAGUUGGUGGGGUAAUGGCUCACCAAGGCGACGAUCCCUAGCUGGUUUGAGAGGAUGAUCAGCCACACUGGAACUGAGACACGGUCCAGACUCCUACGGGAGGCAGCAGUGGGGAAUAUUGGACAAUGGGCGCAAGCCUGAUCCAAC